GACGUAGCUCAGCCUGGUUAGAGCACCUGCUUUGGGAGCAGGAAGUCGCUGGUUCGAAUCCAGUCGUC
rnacentral:tRNA from 1 species